CGGUUUCGGCUGUCACUUACAGAUGGACCCGCGGCGCAUUAGCUAGUUGGUGAGGUAACGGCUCACCAAGGCGACGAUGCGUAGCCGACCUGAGAGGGUGAUCGGCCACACUGGGACUGAGACACGGCCCAGACUCCUACGGGAGGCAGCAGUAGGGAAUCUUCCGCAAUGGACGAAAGUCUGACGGAGCAACGCCGCGUGAGUGAUGAAGGUUUUCGGAUCGUAAAGCUCUGUUGUUAGGGAAGAACAAGUGCAAGAGUAACUGCUUGCACCUUGACGGUACCUAACCAGAAAGCCACGGCUAACUACGUGCCAGCAGCCGCGGUAAUACGUAGGUGGCAAGCGUUGUCCGGAAUUAUUGGGCGUAAAGGGCUCGCAGGCGGUUUCUUAAGUCUGAUGUGAAAGCCCCCGGCUCAACCGGGGAGGGUCAUUGGAAACUGGGAAACUUGAGUGCAGAAGAGGAGAGUGGAAUUCCACGUGUAGCGGUGAAAUGCGUAGAGAUNGUGGAGGAACACCAGNUGGCGAAGGCGACUCUCUGGUCUGUACUGACGCUGAGGAGCGAAAGCGUGGGGAGCGAACAGGAUUAGAUACCCUGGUAGUCCACGCCGUAAACGAUGAGUGCUAAGUGUUAGGGGGUUUCCGCCCCUUAGUGCUGCAGCUAACGCAUUAAGCACUCCGCCUGGGGAGUACNGNGUCGCAAGACUGAAACUCAAAGGAAUUGACGGGGGCCCGCACAAGCGGUGGAGCAUGUGGUUUAAUUCGAAGCAACGCGAAGAACCUUACCAGGUCUUGACAUCCUCUGACAACCCUAGAGAUAGGGCUUUCCCUUCGGGGACAGAGUGACAGGUGGUGCAUGGUUGUCGUCAGCUCGUGUCGUGAGAUGUUGGGUUAAGUCCCGCAACGAGCGCAACCCUUGAUCUUAGUUGCCAGCAUUUAGUUGGGCACUCUAAGGUGACUGCCGGUGACAAACCGGAGGAAGGUGGGGAUGACGUCAAAUCAUCAUGCCCCUUAUGACCUGGGCUGCACACGUGCUACAAUGGACAGAACAAAGGGCUGCGAGACCGCAAGGUUUAACCAAUCCCACAAAUCUGUUCUCAGUUCGGAUCGCAGUCUGCAACUCGACUGCGUGAAGCUGGAAUCGCUAGUAAUCGCGGAUCAGCAUGCCGCGGUGAAUAC
rnacentral:rRNA from 1 species